GGCUCAGUAACACGUGGAUAAUCUACCCUGCGGAGGGGGAUAACCCCGGGAAACUGGGGGAUAAUACCCCAUAGACUAUGGAUGCUGGAAUGCUCUGUAGCCGAAAGGUCCGCCGCCGCAGGAUGAGUCUGCGGCCGAUUAGGUUGUUGUUGGGGUAACGGCCCAACAAGCCUGUAAUCGGUACGGGUUGUGGGAGCAAGAGCCCGGAGAUGGAUUCUGAGACACGAAUCCAGGCCCUACGGGGCGCAGCAGGCGCGAAAACUUUGCAAUGCGGGAAACCGUGACAAGGGAACUCCGAGUGCCCGUAAAUUCGGGCUGUCCGCCAGUUUAAAUCACUGGUGAAGAAAGGGCCGGGCAAGACCGGUGCCAGCCGCCGCGGUAAUACCGGCGGCUCGAGUGGUGGCCACUAUUACUGGGCUUAAAGCGUUCGUAGCUGGUCUGUUAAGUCUCUGGGGAAAUCUUCCGGCUUAACCGGAAGGCGUCUCAGGGAUACUGGCAGACUAGGGACCGGGAGAGGUGAGGGGUACUCUAGGGGUAGGAGUGAAAUCCUGUAAUCCUUGGGGGACCACCUGUGGCGAAGGCGCCCCACCAGAACGGCUCCGACAGUGAGGAACGAAAGCUGGGGGAGCAAACCGGAUUAGAUACCCGGGUAGUCCCAGCUGUAAACGAUGCGCGUUAGGUGUAUCGGUGACCACGAGUCACCGAGGUGCCGAAGAGAAAUCGUGAAACGUGCCGCCUGGGAAGUACGGUCGCAAGGCUGAAACUCAAAGGAAUUG
rnacentral:rRNA from 1 species